rnacentral:rRNA from 1 species
CAACCCUUAUCCUUUGUUGCCAGCGGUCCGGCCGGGAACUCAAAGGAGACUGCCAGUGAUAAACUGGAGGAAGGUGGGGAUGACGUCAAGUCAUCAUGGCCCUUACGACCAGGGCUACACACGUGCUACAAUGGCGCAUACAAAGAGAAGCGACCUCGCGAGAGCAAGCGGACCUCAUAAAGUGCGUCGUAGUCCGGAUUGGAGUCUGCAACUCGACUCCAUGAAGUCGGAAUCGCUAGUAAUCGUGGAUCAGAAUGCCACGGUGAAUACGUUCCCGGGCCUUGUACACACCGCCCGUCACACCAUGGGAGUGGGUUGCAAAAGAAGUAGGUAGCUUAACCUUCGGGAGGGCGCUUACCACUUUGUGAUUCAUGACUGGGGUGAAGUCGUAACAAGGUAACCGUAGGGGAACCUGCGGUUGGAUCACCUCCUU